rnacentral:tRNA from 1 species
UGGGGCGUAGCCAAGUGGUAAGGCAACGGGUUUUGGUCCCGCUAGUCGGAGGUUCGAAUCCUUCCGUCCCAG